rnacentral:rRNA from 1 species
UACGUAGGGUGCGAGCGUUGUCCGGAAUUAUUGGGCGUAAAGAGCUUGUAGGCGGUUUGUCGCGUCUGCUGUGAAAAUCCGGGGCUCAACCCCGGACUUGCAGUGGGUACGGGCAGACUAGAGUGUGGUAGGGGAGACUGGAAUUCCUGGUGUAGCGGUGAAAUGCGCAGAUAUCAGGGGGAACACCGAUGGCGAAGGCAGGUCUCUGGGCCACUACUGACGCUGAGAAGCGAAAGCAUGGGGAGCGAACAGG